rfam:Gammaproteobacteria bacterium SG8_30 WOR_8-12_3973, whole genome shotgun sequence.
GGGCGCGUAGCUCAGCGGUAGAGCACUACCUUGACAUGGUAGGGGUCACAGGUUCGAUCCCUGUCGCGCCCA